rnacentral:rRNA from 1 species
GACGAACGCUGGCGGCGUGCCUAAUACAUGCAAGUCGAGCGCAGGAAACUGACGGAACUCUUCGGAGGGAAGGCAGCGGAAUGAGCGGCGGACGGGUGAGUAACACGUAAGGAACCUGCCUCAAGGAUUGGGAUAACUCCGAGAAAUCGGAGCUAAUACCGGAUAGUUCAACGGACCGCAUGGUCCGCUGAUGAAAGGCGCUUCGGCGUCACCUUGAGAUGGCCUUGCGGUGCAUAGCUAGUUGGUGGGGUAACGGCUCACCAAGGCGACGAUGCAUAGCCGACCUGAGAGGGUGAUCGGCCACACUGGGACUGAGACACGGCCCAGACUCCUACGGGAGGCAGCAGUAGGGAAUCUUCCACAAUGGACGAAAGUCUGAUGGAGCAACGCCGCGUGAGUGAUGAAGGUUUUCGGAUCGUAAAACUCUGUUGUAAGGGAAGAACACGUACGAGAGGGAAUGCUCGUACCUUGACGGUACCUUACGAGAAAGCCACGGCUAACUACGUGCCAGCCGCCGCCGUAA